AACCAGUGCAGAGAGGUGUGCCCCAGGCAUCUCUGGGCAGGUAUCUCUUUGAGUGCCUCACUCUCAAGCACGACUAGGAGG
rnacentral:pre_miRNA from 1 species